GAGUUUCAGAGUUCGAUGGGGGUAUUCGAGGUGGAGUUGCUUUUCGCUUCAUUUCAGCGUAGGAGUGGGAUGUGGGACUAAGGGUUUGUCUUGAGUGAUGGUGGGGACUAGGGAUACGACUACGUUUUUGGUGUCUUGACCAAUAAGCGAUGGCGAUAGUUUGAGUCUAAGGGUUCCGAGUUUAAGGACUUCUCGAAACGAAACAAAAAAAACGAGAGAAAAAGAAAAAAAACAUGGCUUGCAAGAGGAAAUUUUUUGAGAUGGUUAAGGAGUCUGGCAUCCUCUUCGUCGAGGACAUUAAGAGGCGACGAAUGGAGAAAAUGGAGGUUCAGAGGAUGAACCGUCUAUUCGAGGAAUCCGGAGGCUUCGACAUUUUCAGCAUAAGGUGGUUGAUGGAGGGUCGUCUGGGGUCAGUCCAUCCAGAGGAGGAUUGAGACCACCCUGCGUGGUCAUCACCUCGUGGCAUUUACGCCGCUUAUGACGAUGAUUGAGGAGGGGAAUUUAUAUUGUUUUUAUGUUUAUUUUGAUAUUUAUAUUUGAGUUAAUGUAAUGAGGAGCU